UGUCUCAAAAACAAAUGAGUAGAGAAAUAAGGAAACAGCCAAACAACUAGCUUUCCCAGCACCCAGCACAGGCCUCUGAGUCCCACCUCUCUCCAUGUCCGGGGACCUCUCAGCCUGCUCCCAUUUUGAUCAUGUCAGUGAAUGGCCCCACCCAAUCCCGAAGCCCCAAACCCAGACCUUAAUCUUGACUUGUUUUCUGUUCACCCCACACAUCCUGCUAUUAAGUCUGUCUGCUGAGAUCCCAGUAAGAACUUCCAGUCUGUUCGCCUCCUCCCUCUGCUCCCCAGGGACACUACUAAGUGCCUGGCUGGGGCCACCAGUGCCUGGGGUGCACAGAACACUGCCAGCUCUGCCCUAGACUCUUCAGCUCAGCAUGCGCCUUCUGGAACCUGAGUCAGAUGCAGACUCCAGGGCCCCAAGCUUCUACUGAGACAGUCAGCAGCAAGUUCAUUUCUGAGUAGAGAACUUUCUAGACACCUCUCCACACUCAGAGCCAAAACCGCUUCUUCGACCCAUGGUAGGCUCCAAGUUAUAAUCCACAUACAGGAAACCCCAGGUUCCACAAGGCCUCCUUCAUGUCUGCAGAGCCAGACUGAGGACUCGGGGUGACUUAGGGCCCUCCUGAGUGAUUAGGGCUCCCUAAAAGCAGACUCACUGAUUUUCCCCAGUGGGCCUGUGACUGUAAGUAGCUGGGCGGGGCAUAAGCCAUCCACAGCUGGAUCCUGUUAUCCAGUCCACUAGCCCACCCACUGGCCUGGGCCUUUGGCAGAUAAUCCCAGCCAGAUGGCCUGGUUCAGCCAGGCAGUGGUUCUGGAUACCAACACCAAUCCAGAUAGGUAGCUGGGGCUGGCUGCAGGCUGAGGCACCAGCCAGUGGGCGUGGAAAGGAAUACUCUUGAGAACCUGACCCAGGCAGCGUUCUGCUUUCUUCAGGGCAUUACUGCCCUUUAGGAUCGGACCAUCGGCACCUUUUCUAGCACCUUGGAGCAGCAAAUCCUCAUACCUGAGAGCAUCCCCUCUGCCCAUGCACACUCCUCCACCUUCAAGUUCCAACUCUGCUGCAUCCCGGUCUGUGGGCCCUGACAGCGUUUUGCAUGCUCCUGGGCCUCGUUUUCCAAAUAUGCUCUAUGGAGGCAGUACCGGCCCUGCCCUUGGUAUAGGGCGUUGGGAUGAGCAAAAUCGACAAAUAUUCUGAUUCCAAGGCUCCUGCUAGACAGAGGAGUAGGCCUGUAGUAGUGACGUGCACCAUGAACAAAACCAGGAUGAACGUUCAAGGCAAGCUGGCCAGGGUCAUCGGGCUGAGAGGAUGGGAUCCCAGCACUUGGAGGGAAGCCAGGAGGGAGGGGUAUCAGGUGGAAGAAAAGCAAGGACGAAGGCCCCGAGGUAGAUGGGAGUGUGUGGGUGGGGUUUGACAAUCGAGAUUGGCGACAGCAAUAGACUCCAUGUGUCUUUCAGGGGGAAAGGCGCAUGAGGCUCAGGGUUCAGAAAGGCAUCUGUUAGUAGAGAGGGGGUCAUGCCUUGGAUCAAUGAUGGCCAUCCUCAGCCUGUGGCUGGGUGGCCUCAGACAAGUGUCUCCACCUCCCUGGGACACAUCAUUGAAACAGUGACAACCACAGCUUCUACCUCCGGGGUUGCUGGGAGCACUGAUGGUGGGGUACACAGCUCGGCGCGGUUGUGUAACCAGCAGGUGACAAACCCCAGUGCCUGUGUGUUACAGGUCCCCUCAUGGCGAUGCUGGCUGACAGCAUGGCUGAGUCCUAUCACUGCUGUUUUAGAGAGGUGUUCCGGACGCAUGUGAGUGAACACAGCCAUGGUCAAACACCAUCAACAGUGUGGACUCGCUCCUGUCACGGUGAAGGUCCACUCCUGUCACGGCGCGGCCCUACUCUUGGGGAAGGAAGAUACCAUGAGCCACAGUGACCAGCCCCUGGGGAGGAGUAACAACGGGGAGCAGCAUCUUCUAUUUGUGCUACACAUCUCAUCUAUGUUUGCAUUUUAAAAGUAUACCGAAAGGCCAGACGGCUCAGUGGCGAAGGAGCUUGCAGCCAAGCCUGAGGACCUGACGGUGAUCCCAGGAGCCCACAUGGUAGAAGAGAACCACCUCCUGCAAGCUACCCUCUGAUCUCCACACACAUACCCUAAAAUAAAGAAGUGUUGAAAGU